GCCAGGCAUGGUGGUGUGCGCCUGUAAUCCCAGCUACUUGGGAGGCUGAGGCAGGAGAAUUGCUGGAACCCAGGAGGCAGAGGUUGCAGUGAGCAGCUGAGAUCAUGCCACUGCACCCCAGCCUGGGUGACAGAGCAAGACUCCGUCUCUA
ensembl:misc_RNA Metazoa_SRP Metazoan signal recognition particle RNA